rnacentral:rRNA from 1 species
GAUGAACGCUGGCGGCGUGCCUAAUACAUGCAAGUCGAGCGAACAGACGAGGAGCUUGCUCCUCUGACGUUAGCGGCGGACGGGUGAGUAACACGUGGAUAACCUACCUAUAAGACUGGGAUAACUUCGGGAAACCGGAGCUAAUACCGGAUAACAUGUUGAACCGCAUGGUUCAACAGUGAAAGACGGUUUUGCUGUCACUUAUAGAUGGAUCCGCGUCGCAUUAGCUAGUUGGUAAGGUAACGGCUUACCAAGGCAACGAUGCGUAGCCGACCUGAGAGGGUGAUCGGCCACACUGGAACUGAGACACGGUCCAGACUCCUACGGGAGGCAGCAGUAGGGAAUCUUCCGCAAUGGGCGAAAGCCUGACGGAGCAACGCCGCGUGAGUGAAGAAGGUCUUCGGAUCGUAAAACUCUGUUAUUAGGGAAGAACAAAUGUGUAAGUAACUAUGCACGUCUUGACGGUACCUAAUCAGAAAGCCACAGCUAACUACGUG